UACGUAGGGUGCAAGCGUUGUCCGGAAUUAUUGGGCGUAAAGAGCUCGUAGGCGGUUUGUCGCGUCUGCUGUGAAAUCUGGGGGCUCAACCCCCAGCCUGCAGUGGGUACGGGCAGACUAGAGUGCGGUAGGGGAGAUUGGAAUUCCUGGUGUAGCGGUGGAAUGCGCAGAUAUCAGGAGGAACACCGAUGGCGAAGGCAGAUCUCUGGGCCGUAACUGACGCUGAGGAGCGAAAGCGUGGGGAGCGAACAGG
rnacentral:rRNA from 1 species